ACACACACACACACACACACACACACACACACACACACACACACACACACACACACACACACACACACACAGUGCAUCUCACUAUCUUUGAGGGGACCCACCAUUGACAUAAUGGAUUCCCUAGUCACUGACACUAACCUUAACCAUCACAACUAAAUGCCUGACCUAAACCCUCACCCCCACCCUAACCACAACCUGAUUCUAACCCUGAUCCUAAAACCAAGUCUUAUUCCUCAAACAGCCCUUUAAAGUUGUGGGGUCCAGCAUUUUGGCCCCACAAAUCUGUCCGGACCCCACAAGUAUACUGCAUUCCCGGUGGUUGGACCCCACGAAUGUAAAUGCCUAAUCUUAACCCUU